rnacentral:rRNA from 1 species
GCCUAUAACCAAAUCACAACGAAUGCACCAGAUCUCAUAAGAUCUCAGAAGCUAAGCAGAGUUGAGUAUGAUUAGUUCUUGAAAGGAAGAUUUCCUGGGAAUGUCAGGUGUUGUAGGCU